GUACUACUGAUUUUACCAGUUGGAUUUUUGGGAAAUGCUGCUAAAAAAAUCAACCACUUACGGAGGCAUCUCUUCUGAACAAUUUUGGGUUACCUUGCUCGAGGACACAAUGGCCAUAGCCCUGCAUACGUCACUGUGGGAUUUCAAUGUGUUUUACUCUUUUGAAGUAAAGGGCAGAGGUGUAUACUAAAGUAUUUUAGUUACAUUUUCCAAGCAUCUGUGCUUUAUCAGAGUGUUUGUCUUGGAAAAAAUGUACUUUACUAAAAAAUGUUCACUACAUUCUAAAGCAUAGAAUCAUACUGUGUAUUCUUUAAUUUUGCAUAUAAAAAAUUGUGUUUUUUUACUUUCUUGAGUAAAAGUACGAAAGUACUUUUUACUUAAGUAAAAAAAUUUACUAGAUGUUUAAUGUAUUUAAAUAUUAAAUAUAAGCCAAAAACUUGAAAUUAUGAAGUGUAGUAGAGUAAAAAUUAUGAUAAUAUGCUUUGGAAUGUAUGUUUUCCAAAGAAAAACACUCAUAAAAAUACUUGAAAAUUUACUUGAAUGUAGAAAGUAAAAAUACUUAAGUAGUAUACACCUCUGGUAAAGGGAAAGUGACAUGAUUUUUCUGUUUUGUAGCCCAUACUCAAAAUGCGACCUCUGCAUUUAACCCAUCUUAGUGAAUAGUAACACAAGCACACGGAGAAGAUUUUUUGCAAUGCCCAGUAAGAAAUUGGUGAAAAGGUUUCUUGCAUAAAGAGACUCAAACUGGCAACCUUCAGGUUACAAGCCUGACUCUCCAACUAUGAGGCCAAAACUGCACCCCUUUAAUUGAUUCUUUUUGAUGUCAUUAUUUUUACAUUAAACGGCCAAUGUACUCUUUAACCUAUAGAUCAUUAGUGCAUCUUUAAAAGAAUGACCACAUAACAUAAAAUGUACACCUUAAUCUUAAGUAAGUUUAUAAUAGAUUGCUUUAUUAAACUGCCUUUAUAAAUGAUUUUUGAGCUCACAUUUAAGCUAUUUUAAUAUAACAUCAAUGCAAAUUUAAAGUGAGCUAUAAAGUUUGCUUUGUUUAUUAUUCUGUGUUCACGGCUGCUCUUAUAUUGUGCUGUUCUUUAUUACAAAGGGCAGCUGUGGUUUGAUCACAAACAGCCAAAUGUUGCUUUUGAUGAUGCCAAGUUUUUAAAGUGUGUGUAUGCAAAGGCCCUUAAUCCUAUAAAGUGAGCUUUCAAUGCAGUAAAGCAUAGAAAUUUUGAAAGUUUGAGUCCUAAGGAACACGCAUAAUGAAAAUGUGUGUGAUCAAGUAAAUUGCUUGAAUGAAAUGAAUAAAUGUAAAUACAAUCAUUUAGAAAUAAAAAAGAGAUUUUAUUUUUUUUCUCUGCAGGGAGAAUAGCAGAUAUUUUCUUAUGGAUGAGAAUAGUAUUCAUAACCUCAAAAGACAGUAUGUUUCAAUAUCAAAGCCCUGUUAGUGAGAAUGCCAUUUUUCAACAGUUGGGAGGGCUAUAGGACAAGCUAUACGUAUGUGCUGCAGAAUCAUCCAGACUUACUUUGAAUUUUGUUUGGGACUGGUGUUAUAUUUUCUUAUGUAACAUUAUGUUUUCAUGAUCAAAUGAAAAUCUGUAUCUGUUCUGACAAUUCAGUUUAUUGUGCUUAAUGAUCUUGAAACACUUUAUUUCACCGAAUCGAAUGCUUGUGUUGUACUGAAACAGGCCUUUUUUAUAAUACUUAAAAAAUUGUAAAUAAACAUAAUAUAAAUGGACAUCUAAAUUCCCUCCUUGUUUCAUGAUUCUAUCUUAUAGCCAAACUUCUGCUUUAUUUGUUCUUGAUUUAUAUAAUUGCAGGGGAAAGACCUGUGGCAGCUUUUGAUCCAAAAGAGAAGUUUUACAAUAAUAGAGUGCAUUGUUGUCUUGCAAACAAAAGUCUUUGUAAAUGGUUAUUUGUGCAUCUGCCAGCUUCUGGACAGUACAUUGCCACUGGUUUAUCUCAUAAAAGGUUAAUAGUUAUGAAGCCUCUAUACCUUAAAAUUUUACUUUGUCAUAUUAUUACACUGUCUCGCGUGUCCACAGCAGAGAGACAAUUAUUUUGCUCCUCAGAAAAUAUAAACAUUUGGUACAGCUAUGAUGGACCAUUAUAUUACCUGUCAAUAACCGGAUUUCCCUGCUCUCAAGGAGCCACAACAUACAAUAUAAAUUAUACAGUAAUCCCAAUGUUCACAAUUGCACGUUUUGGAUUUGGUGUUACUGUACAUUACAAAGGUCAACUGUGGCUGGAGCACACCAAGCCGAAUAUUCCCUGUGAAGACCUCAAAUUAUGUUACAUCAUCAAAGGAGAAACACUUCAUGACAGCUUCCCACUCUAUGUGUCUUCGUUUUACUUUCCUGAGGGGGAAUAUCAGAUUCACUUCAAUGGGACAUUUGUUGAUGACCUUGAAAAUGCACUGACGGCACGUUUCAACAUCACUACACAUGUAAAAAGUACUGGUAAUGAUAAAAAUUAGUUUAAUCAAGUGUGACAAAGCCACACAUGGUAUACAGCUUUAUGUUUAUUUUUUGCAGAUGUUAUAUACAUAUCCAUAUAUUAAAUAUAGUGUUAUCAAAAGGGAACAAUUAUUGAUAUACAGACAUUGGCAUGCUUGUUUGUAUACUAGAGAGUUAUUGUCUUUAUAUUGUAGAGAGAUGGAUAACAAAUAAAAUCCUGUGAAUUGCUGUUCUGUGUUAAAUAUGUGGGCAUGUCUAUUAUUCAGUAUAUUUGCAAUGUUGAAACUUUUUUUAUCUCAUGACCAAACUUCCUUUAUUUCAGCAGUUCCCUGUUCACACAACCACUGUUAUUAAACUAAGGAAAAACCUGUGACGGUUACAAAAAGAGAAGUUUAUUACAAUUGACUACAUUGUAUUAGCAGUUGUGCAUUGAGUUUAAAACCGACUUGUUAUAGACAAGGGAUAUUUUUGGGUUAAAUACAUCUUAACGUCUAGGCAGAAAAAUCAUUUAAACUUUGUUCAUAAAGAGUCAUGGUUAUGGUGCCUUUGAACCGUUUCGCUUUUCUUUAUUUUAUUGCCAUAUGGUCUUGUAUACCUGCAGCCUUUGUAGAGAAAAGAUUACUGUGCUCCUCAGAAAAUGUCAAUAUUUGGUACACAUAUGAUGGUCCCUUGUAUUACCUGUCAGCACGAAGCUACCCCUGUGCUUUUGGCUUGUCACUGUACAACAUAACUUAUACAAUAAUCCCAACAUUCACUCUGGCUCGUAUUGGAUAUCACGUCAUUGUUUACUACAAUGGUCAGAUGUGGCUGGAGCACACACAGCCACAUGUUCCUUGUGAGGAUGCCAAAAUGUGUUAUAUCAUUAAAGGAGAAACUCUUCAUGAAACCAUUCAGUUGUAUCUGAAAAGGUUUUAUGGCCCUCCGGGAGAAUAUGAGAUAAUUGCAACACUAACCAUUAUUGAUGACCUUCAAGGACCCUUGACACUAGAAUUUAAGGUCACUCUGGAUGUAAAAUCUUCUGGUAGUGAGAAAAAUAUCCUUUUCCCACAACUAGGAGUGCAAUAGGAUCAACUACAUGUGUUAUACAUCGCAACCUUUCUAUUAUCUUUGGGGGCAGAUUUGUCUUUUGUUAAGAUUUUCAGAGGUCAAAGAAUAUAAGUAUAACUGUAAUGGUCGCUCAUGGUGUGACAACAAUCGCAUCUGUUUGGUUGUAUAGUAUUUUGAACGUGUUGUAAAGAACGUCUUGAUUUAGACCCGUCUACCAUGUUUGGAACUUCUCAGCAUUAUCAGCUGCUGAGCAUUGUCAUUCAAUGAAGAACAGGCCCGCUAUUUGAUUUCCAAGUUUAAACAGACUGAAAUAGUUAAAGUAGGUUAAAAUAGGAGAAUUAACGUGGAAUGAAUGUCCUUCAUCUGCUACCAGCAGCUCUUGGUCAUUUCUUGUAAAUGUGUGAGUCAUUACCUUACAAGAGAUGCUUUCAGACCACCAGUCAUGAUUUCACAUACUCUAUGUUUAUGUUAAGCAAAGCUGGGUCUAUGGGGGUGGGGUUGUGAUUUGGCUCUCAAGACCCCCCCCCCCAAAAAAGUCAAGCCAGCCAUAAAGAACAAGAAGAGUGUCUCUUUAAACAAAUAGCAUCCCUUGUAAAAUGUAUAUAUGUAUAUAUAUAUAUAUAUAUAUAUAUAUAUAUAUAUAUAUAUAUAUAUUAAUUACAUUGAGUGUUAUGGCUUCCCACCCAAAUAUCCCGACUACCACCAGUCCAGCAAGCCCGGUACCAGCCCUGACGUUAAGGUUAAAGAAGUAGUCCACUUUAAAUAUGGGGUGCAUAUAGUAGGAAAAAAAACUUUGGUAAGUCAAUAGGACCCAUCUUUAAAGUGGACUACUCCUUUAACUUUCAAGCCAACAUUGGUCAAAAAUGGACAAGCCCAGCCAUUGGGUUAAAAACCCAGAACAUUUUUAUAUUUUACCCAAUAAUGGGUUAAAACAACCCCCUUUUUGACCUAAACAUUUUAGGGUAUAGUCAGUAAUUACUGUAUUAAGUCUAAGUGUUGUCAUAUAUACAUUCAUAUAUAUAUAUACACACACACACACACACACACACACA